rnacentral:rRNA from 1 species
UCUGUUUGAUCCCGCCAGAGGUUACUGCUAUCGGUGUUCGACUAAGCCAUGCAAGUCAUAUGUUCCUCGUGAACAUGGCAUACUGCUCAGUAACACGUGGAUAACCUGCCCUUGGGUCUGGGAUAACCCCGGGAAACUGGGGAUAAUACCGGAUAACGCAUAUGUGCUGGAAUGCUUUAUGCGUAAAACGGAUUCGUCCGCCCAAGGAUGGGUCUGCGGCCUAUCAGGUAGUAGUGGGUGUAAUGUACCUACUAGCCAACAACGGGUACGGGUUGUGAGAGCAAGAGCCCGGAGAUGGAUUCUGAGACAUGAAUCCAGGCCCUACGGGGCGCAGCAGGCGCGAAAACUUUACAAUGCGGGAAACCGUGAUAAGGGAACACCGAGUGCCAGCAUCAUAUGCUGGCUGUCCAGAUGUGUAAAGUACAUCUGUUAGCAAGGGCCGGGCAAGACCGGUGCCAGCCGCCGCGGUAACACCGGCGGCCCGAGUGGUGACCGUUAUUAUUGGGUCUAAAGGGUCCGUAGCCGGUUUGGUCAGUCCUCCGGGAAAUCUGAUAGCUUAACUGUUAGGCUUUCGGGGGAUACUGCCAGGCUUGGAACCGGGAGAGGUAAGAGGUACUACAGGGGUAGGAGUGAAAUCUUGUAAUCCCUGUGAGACCACCUGUGGCGAAGGCGUCUUACCAGAACGGGUUCGACGGUGAGGGACGAAAGCUGGGGGCACGAACCGGAUUAGAUACCCGGGUAGUCCCAGCCGUAAACUAUGCUCGCUAGGUGUCAGGCAUGACGCGACCGUGUCUGGUGCCGCAGGGAAGCCGUGAAGCGAGCCACCUGGGAAGUACGGCCGCAAGGCUGAAACUUAAAGGAAUUGGCGGGGGAGCACAACAACGGGUGGAGCCUGCGGUUUAAUUGGACUCAACGCCGGACAACUCACCGGGGACGACAGCAAAAUGUAGGCCAGGCUGAAGACCUUGCCUGAAUCGCUGAGAGGAGGUGCAUGGCCGUCGCCAGUUCGUACUGUGAAGCAUCCUGUUAAGUCAGGCAACGAGCGAGACCCA